UACGUAGGGAGCAAGCGUUGUCCGGAAUCAUUGGGCGUAAAGCGCGCGUAGGUGGCUUCAUAAGUCCGUUGUGAAAGUCAAAGGCUCAACCUUUGAAAGCCGAUGGAUACUGUGGAGCUAGAGUACGGAAGAGGCGAGUGGAAUUCCCGGUGUAGCGGUGAAAUGCGCAGAUAUCGGGAGGAACACCAAUGGCGAAGGCAGCUCGCUGGGACGGUACUGACGCUGAGACGCGAAGGCGUGGGGAGCAAACAGG
rnacentral:rRNA from 1 species